rnacentral:rRNA from 1 species
UACGUAGGGUGCAAGCGUUGUCCGGAUUUAUUGGGCGUAAAGAGCUCGUAGGCGGUUUGUCGCGUCGUCCGUGAAAACUCACAGCUUAACUGUGAGCUUGCGGUCGAUACGGGCAGGCUAGAGUUCGGUAGGGGAGACUGGAAUUCCUGGUGUAGCGGUGAAAUGCGCAGAUAUCAGGAGGAACACCGGUGGCGAAGGCGGGUCUCUGGGCCGAUACUGACGCUGAGGAGCGAAAGCGUGGGGAGCGAACAGG